rnacentral:rRNA from 1 species
AUUGAACGCUGGCGGCAUGCUUUACACAUGCAAGUCGAACGGCCGCGCGGGCUUCGGCCUGGCGGCGAGUGGCGAACGGGUGAGUAAUGCAUCGGAACGUGCCCAGUAGUGGGGGAUAGCCCGGCGAAAGCCGGAUUAAUACCGCAUACGACCUGAGGGUGAAAGCGGGGGACCGAAAGGCCUCGCGCUAUUUGAUCUGCCGAUGUCGGAUUAGCGAGUUGGUGGGGUAAAGGCUUACCAAGGCGACGAUCCGUAGCUGGUCUGAGAAGACGACCAGCCACACGGGAACUGAGACACGGCCCAGACUCCUACGGGAGGCAGCAGUGGGGAAUUUUGGACAAUGGGGGAAACCCUGAUCCAGCCAUGCCGCGUGCGGGAAGAAGGCCUUCGGGUUGUAAACCGCUUUUGUUCGGGAAGAAAUCCUGUGGGCUAAUACCCCGGGGGGAUGACGGUACCGGAAGAAUAAGCACCGGCUAACUACGUG